AUUGAACGCUGGCGGCAUGCUUUACACAUGCAAGUCGAACGGCAGCGCGGGGCAACCUGGCGGCGAGUGGCGCACGGGUGAGUAAUAUAUCGGAACGUACCCAGAAGUGGGGGAUAACGUAGCGAAAGUUACGCUAAUACCGCAUACGAUCUACGGAUGAAAGUAGGGGACCGCAAGGCCUUAUGCUUUUGGAGCGGCCGAUAUCUGAUUAGCUAGUUGGUGAGGUAAAGGCUCACCAAGGCGACGAUCAGUAGCUGGUCUGAGAGGACGACCAGCCACACUGGAAUUGAGACACGGUCCAGACUCCUACGGGAGGCAGCAGUGGGGAAUUUUGGACAAUGGGCGCAAGCCUGAUCCAGCAAUGCCGCGUGAGUGAAGAAGGCCUUCGGGUUGUAAAGCUCUUUUGUCAGGGAAGAAACGGUAGAGGCUAAUAUCCUUUGCUAAUGACGGUACCUGAAGAAUAAGCACCGGCUAACUACGUG
rnacentral:rRNA from 1 species